rnacentral:rRNA from 1 species
CAUGGCGGCCGCGGGAAUUCGAUUCGUAUUACCGCGGCUGCUGGCACGUAGUUAGCCGGGGCUUCUUCUGGAGGUACCGUCACCCUCUCGGCUAUUAACCUGAGUGGCUUCGUCUCUCCUGAAAGGGGUUUACAACCCGAAAGCCUUCUUCCCCCACGCGGCGUCGCUGCGUCAGGCUUUCGCCCAUUGCGCAAGAUUCCCCACUGCUGCCUCCCGUAGGAGUCUGGGCCGUGUCUCAGUCCCAGUGUGGCUGAUCGUCCUCUCAGACCAGCUACGCAUCGUCGCCUUGGUGGGCCGUUACCCACACCAACAAGCUAAUGCGCCGCGGGCCCAUCCUAGGGCGGAGGCCGAAGCUACCAUUUCCCGUAACGCCUUGAGGCAUUACGAAUUAUGCGGUAUUAGCCCGAGUUUCCUCGGGUUGUCCCGCUCCCUAGGGCAGGUUGCCCACGUGUUACUCACCCGUUCGCCACUGUACUAACUCCCGAAGGAGCGUUCUCGUUCGACUUGCAUGUGUUAAGCACGCCGCCAGCGUUCGUCCUGAGCCAUGAUCAAACUCUAAUCACUAGUGAAUUCGCGGCCGCCUGCAGGUCGACCAUAU